GUGGGGAAUUUUGGACAAUGGGCGCAAGCCUGAUCCAGCAAUGCCGCGUGCAGGAAGAAGGCUUUCGGGUCGUAAACCUCUGUCAGAAAGGAAGAACCUCCCAAGUCCGAAUAGGGCUUGGGACUGACGGUACUUUCAAAGGAAGCUCCGGCUAACUUCGUGCCAGCAGCCGCGGUAAUACGAAGGGGGCUAGCGUUGCUCGGAAUUACUGGGCGUAAAGGGCGCGUAGGCGGACAGCUUAGUCAGAGGUGAAAGCCCAGGGCUCAACCUUGGAAUUGCCUUUGAUACUGGCUGUCUUGAGUUUGGGAGAGGUGAGUGGAACUCCGAGUGUAGAGGUGAAAUUCGUAGAUAUUCGGAAGAACACCAGUGGCGAAGGCGACUCACUGGCCCAAUACUGACGCUGAGGCGCGAAAGCGUGGGGAGCAAACAGGAUUAGAUACCCUAGUAGUCC
rnacentral:rRNA from 1 species